rnacentral:rRNA from 1 species
UAGAAUUGACGGGGCCCGCACAAGCGGUGAGCAUGUGGUUUAAUCGAAGCAACGCGAAGAACCUUACCAGGUCUUGACAUCCCGAUGCUAUUUCUAGAGAUAGAAAGUUACUUCGGUACAUCGGUGACAGGUGGUGCAUGGUUGUCGUCAGCUCGUGUCGUGAGAUGUUGGGUUAAGUCCCGCAACGAGCGCAACCCCUAUUGUUAGUUGCCAUCAUUCAGUUGGGCACUCUAGCGAGACUGCCGGUAAUAAACCGGAGGAAGGUGGGGAUGACGUCAAAUCAUCAUGCCCCUUAUGACCUGGGCUACACACGUGCUACAAUGGUUGGUACAACGAGUUGCGAGUCGGUGACGGCGAGCUAAUCUCUUAAAGCCAAUCUCAGUUCGGAUUGUAGGCUGCAACUCGCCUACAUGAAGUCGGAAUCGCUAGUAAUCGCGGAUCAGCACGCCGCGGUGAAUACGUUCCCGGGCCUU